GAAAUGCGAUAAGUAUGUGAAUUGCAGAAUUCAGUGAAUCAUCGAAUCUUUGAACGCACAUUGCGCCCGCCAGUAUUCUGGCGGGCAUGCCUGUCCGAGCGUCAUUUCAACCAUCAAGCCCCCGGGCUUGUGUUGGGGACCUGCGGCUGCCCGCAGGCCCUGAAAACCAGUGGCGGGCUCGCUGUCACACCGAGCGUAGUAGCAAUCACCUCGCUCAGGGCGUGCUGCGGGUUCCGGCCGUUAAACAGCCUUACAAAACCCAAGGUUGACCUCGGAUCAGGUAGGAAUACCCGCUGAACUUAAGC
rnacentral:misc_RNA from 1 species